rnacentral:rRNA from 1 species
UGGGGAAUAUUGGACAAUGGGGGCAACCCUGAUCCAGCAAUGCCGCGUGUGUGAAGAAGGCCUGAGGGUUGUAAAGCACUUUCAGUGGGGAGGAGAAUUAGUAGGUUAAGAGCUGAUUAAUUGGACGUUACCCACAGAAGAAGCACCGGCUAACUCCGUGCCAGCAGCCGCGGUAAUACGGAGGGUGCAAGCGUUAAUCGGAAUUACUGGGCGUAAAGGGUGCGUAGGUGGUUAAUUAAGUUAGAUGUAAAAACCCUGGGCUUAACCUGGGACUGAGAUUUAAUACUGGUUAACUUGAGUAUGGGAGAGGGUAGUGGAAUUUCCGGUGUAGCGGUGAAAUGCGUAGAGAUCGGAAGGAACACCAGUGGCGAAGGCGGCUACCUGGCCUAAUACUGACACUGAGGCACGAAAGCGUGGGGAGCAAACAGG